rnacentral:lncRNA from 1 species
GUAGAGAGAAGGUGCUAGAACUGUGUACGAUCAUGACUGGAAAGCAGGAUCCCUCAGUGACUGCCGAAUCUUCCCAGCACAAGAUAGAGAGGCAGUUCAGCACAAGCCUACAUUGGUUCUAGGCAGAACGAUGAUCCUACCGAACAGAUCUCAAAUAAAAUUAAAUUGAGAAAGCAGAUCUUUCAAGGGAAUGAGGCGGAGGCUCGCUUUUAUGUUAAAAGCCACCAGCAUCCUCCUUGCUAGACAUGGACAUGACAUUUUUAAAGGAAUUAUCUGGUUACAGCGUUUUAAGCAAACUGUUCUAAGGAGUCUGUACAUUGCAUUAUUUUUUCUAUUCUUUUUUUCUUUUGCAUAUAUGUAAUUCUGGAGGAUCAUGUAUUCAUAAGGGAUGAGGCGGGCCACGGCGAUCCCAGGCCUGAGCCGCGGCCUACCCAGUCAGUUCAGAGCCAGGCCCUCCACUACCGGAACAGAGAGCGCUUUGCCACGAUCAAAUCAGCAUCUUUGGUUACACGACAGAUCCAUGAGCAUGAGCAGGAGAACGAGUUGCGGGAACAGAUGUCAGGUUAUAAGCGGAUGCGGCGCCAGCACCAGAAGCAG